AUGAAAGGUGGCUUCGCUAAGUGCGUUCACGUCCUGUGAACAACGCCAAGUACCUACGUCGUGUAGG
rnacentral:sRNA from 1 species